rnacentral:rRNA from 1 species
CCCGCUCAAGAAACUUAAAUAGAAGUUGACGGGGGCCCGCACAAGCGGUGGAGUAUGUGGUUUAAUUCGAUGCAACGCGAAGAACCUUACCUGGUCUUGACAUCCCGGAGACCCUUAGGAAACUAGGGGGUGCUUCCAUCUGGAAGAAUCUGGAGACAGGUGCUGCAUGGCUGUCGUCAGCUCGUGUCGUGAGAUGUUGGGUUAAGUCCCGCAACGAGCGCAACCCUUGCCUUUAGUUGCCAGCAGUUCGGCUGGGCACUCUAAAGGGACUGCCGGUGUUAAACCGGAGGAAGGUGGGAUGACGUCAAGUCCUCAUGGCCUUUAUGACCAGGGCUACACACGUACUACAAUGGCCGAUACAAAGGGCAGCGACACUGCGAGGUGAAGCCAAUCCCGUAAAAUCGGUCUCAGUCCGGAUUGGAGUCUGCAACUCGACUCCAUGAAGUUGGAAUCGCUAGUAAUCGUGGAUCAGCAUGCCACGGUGAAUACGUUCCCGGGCCUU